rnacentral:rRNA from 1 species
AUUGAACGCUGGCGGCAGGCUUAACACAUGCAAGUCGGACGGUAACAGGGGAGCUUGCUCCUGCUGACGAGUGGCGGACGGGUGAGUAAGGUCUGGGAAACUGCCCGAUGGCGGGGGAUAACCACUGGAAACGGUGGCUAAUACCGCAUAAUGUCGCAAGACCAAAGAGGGGGACCUUAGGGCCUCUUGCCAUCGGAUGUGCCCAGAUGGGAUUAGCUAGUAGGUGGGGUAAAGGCUCACCUAGGCGACGAUCUCUAGCUGGUCUGAGAGGAUGACCAGCCACACUGGAACUGAGACACGGUCCAGACUCCUACGGGAGGCAGCAGUGGGGAAUAUUGCACAAUGGGCGCAAGCCUGAUGCAGCCAUGCCGCGUGUAUGAAGAAGGCCUUCGGGUUGUAAAGUACUUUCAGCGAGGAGGAAGGCAUUAAGGUUAAUAACCUUAGUGAUUGACGUUACUCGCAGAAGAAGCACCGGCUAACUCCGUGCCAGCAGCCGCCGUAAUAC